rnacentral:pre_miRNA from 1 species
UAACUACUCCCUCUGUCCCAAAUUUCUUGUCUUAGAUUUUUCUAGAUACGGAUGUGUCUAAUACUAAAAUGUGACUUGAUACAUCCGUAUCUAGACAAAUCUAAGACAAGAAUUUUGGGACGGAGGAGUACUUU